UACGUAGGGCGCAAGCGUUAUCCGGAAUUAUUGGGCGUAAAGAGCUCGUAGGCGGUUUGUCGCGUCUGCCGUGAAAGUCCGGGGCUCAACUCCGGAUCUGCGGUGGGUACGGGCAGACUAGAGUGAUGUAGGGGAGACUGGAAAUCCUGGUGUAGCGGUGAAAUGCGCAGAUAUCAGGAGGAACACCGAUGGCGAAGGCAGGUCUCUGGGCAUUAACUGACGCUGAGGAGCGAAAGCAUGGGGAGCGAACAGG
rnacentral:rRNA from 1 species